rnacentral:rRNA from 1 species
UACGUAGGGGGCAAGCGUUGUCCGGAAUCAUUGGGCGUAAAGAGCGCGUAGGCGGCCCAGUAAGUCCGCUCUGAAAGUCAGAGGCUCAACCUCUGAAUGCGGGUGGAUACUGCUGGGCUAGAGUCCGGAAGAGGCGAGUGGAAUUCCUGGUGUAGCGGUGAAAUGCGCAGAUAUCAGGAGGAACACCGAUGGCGAAGGCAGCUCGCUGGACCGGUUCUGACGCUGAGGCGCGAAAGCGUGGGGAGCAAACAGG